AUUGAACGCUGGUGGCAGGCCUAACACAUGCAAGUCGAACGAGUGGCGGACGGGUGAGUAAUGUCUGGGAAACUGCCCGAUGGCGGGGGAUAACUACUGGAAACGGUAGCUAAUACCGCAUACCAUCGGAGGUGCCCAGAUGGGAUUAGCUAGUAGUUGGGGUAAUGGCUCUCCUAGGCGACGAUCCCUAGCUGGUCUGAGCGGAUGACCAGCCAACCUGGAACUGAGACACGGUCCAGACUCCUACGGGAGGCAGCAGUGGGGAAUAGUGCACAAUGGGCGCAAGCCUGAUACAGCCAUGCCGCGUGUAUGAAGAAGGCCUUCGGGUUGUAAAGUACUUUCAGCGGGGAGGCGUUACCCGCAGAAGAAGCACCGGCUAACUCCGUGCCAGCCGCCGCGGUAAUAC
rnacentral:rRNA from 1 species